UCUAAUAUGGCAGAUUAGUGCAUUGGAUUUAAGCCCCAACCAUAAAAUUUAUUUUUUUUAGAA
rnacentral:tRNA from 1 species